rnacentral:rRNA from 1 species
UAAUUGAAGAGUUUGAUCAUGGCUCAGAUUGAACGCUGGCGGCAGGCCUAACACAUGCAAGUCGAGCGGUAACAGGGGAAGCUUGCUUCUCGCUGACGAGCGGCGGACGGGUGAGUAAUGUAUGGGGAUCUGCCCGAUAGAGGGGGAUAACUACUGGAAACGGUAGCUAAUACCGCAUAAUCUCUUAGGAGCAAAGCAGGGGAACUUCGGUCCUUGCGCUAUCGGAUGAACCCAUAUGGGAUUAGCUAGUAGGUGGGGUAAUGGCUCACCUAGGCGACGAUCCCUAGCUGGUCUGAGAGGAUGAUCAGCCACACUGGGACUGAGACACGGCCCAGACUCCUACGGGAGGCAGCAGUGGGGAAUAUUGCACAAUGGGCGCAAGC